AUUGAACGCUGGCGGCAGGCCUAAUACAUGCAAGUCGAACGAGUGGCGGACGGGUGAGUAAUGUCUGGGAAACUGCCCGAUGGAGGGGUAUAACUACUGGAAACGGUAGCUAAUGCCGCAUACCAUCGGAUGUGCCCAGGUGGGAUUAGCUAGUAGGGGGGGUAACGGCUCACCUAGGCGACGAUCCCUAGCUGGCCGAGGGGAUGACCGGCCACACGGGGACGGAGGCACGGGCCAAACUCCUACGGGGGGCAGCAGGGGGGAAUAUUGCACAAAGGGCGCAAGCCUGAUGCGGCCAUGCCGCGUGUAUGAAGAAGGCCUUCGGGUUGUAAAGUACUUUCAGCGAGGAGGCGUUACUCGCAGAAGAAGCACCGGCUAACUCCGUGCCAGCAGCCGCGGUAAUUC
rnacentral:rRNA from 1 species